AUACUCUUUUAGUUUUGCCAUCCAUAGGCAGC
rnacentral:piRNA from 1 species